rnacentral:rRNA from 1 species
AGUCACUGACAUUAGACUACCCGGGUAGUCCCAGCCGUAAACUAUGCGCGUUAGGUGUACUGGUGACCACGAGUCACCGGGGUGCCGAAGGGAACCGUGAAACGUGCCGCCUGGGAAGUACGGUCGCAAGGCUGAAACUUAAAGGAAUUGGCGGGGAGCACCACAACGGGUGGAGCCUGCGGUUUAAUUGGACUCAACGCCGGAAAUCUCACCGGAUAGGACAGACAUAUGAUAGUCGGGCUGAAGACUCUACUUGAUGAUCUG